ensembl:lncRNA
UUGCUCCAAAAGCAGGGGACAAUUUGUGGAUGUAAGAGACUAUUUCCAAGGGUUCCGUCUUCUAAAUAAGAGAAAACCCAGAUGCCAGACAGCCUCCCGACAGCAGAAGGCGCGUGUCACCAUCGCUAUGUGGACUGAUGCAGUCAAAGCCCUGCAAGAUGACCUGGCAUGUGUCAGGCACAGCAGAGGGAGAGGAACUUCAGAGUUCACACUCCUGGCUCCUGAGAAGACCUUGCGUGUAUGAACUCAGGUCCCAGACGCCUCAGGACUCUCCGGGUAAAUCAGAAAUAACACCACCAACCAACCACACAGAUCAUUAACACAUCACUAAGCUUCAAAUGAAGCCUAGAAAGUACCGGAACACACACUUCUUUUUCCAGGGACCUUCUUGGGCCACGCCUUUCUCAACCCAGGCUAUGCCCACUGAUGAUUUCUCUACAAGCGCUGACCAUUGGAGCUUGGUUUACAGGAGGGUCACACAAUAUGCGAGCAUUAGCAAGAAAUGGAUGACUGGAAACUUACAGCUUCGCUCAAGCACAUUCAUCCAGUCAACAAACAUUCAUCCAACAUCUAUACGUACUGGGCACUAUUCUAGAUGCCAAGGAUCCAGCAACAUCAAAACAGAAGUUUUGACUAUCAUGGAGCUUACAUUGUAAUGUGGAAAGAUGGACAAUAAACAUUAUAAAUAAGUAAGUUAGAUAGAAGAUUAAACACCUACGGAAAAAUAGAUCAAGAUGUGAGACAAGGAGUGCUGGUAUAUUGGUGGGAAUUGAAAUUCUCAAUAGUAGGUUCAAGCUUGGCUUCACUGUGAAGGUGACAUUUGGGCAAACACUUGAAGGAGGUGAGAGACUGAGCCACAAGGAUACCUUAAGAGAGCAAUCCAGAUAGAGGAAAGAGUCACUGCAGAGACCCAGGGUGGAAACACAGCUGGCGUGUUGGAAGAAGUGAAAAACGAAAGGCAACUCAAGAGUUUUGGCUUCUGGAACAAGAAUAAAAGAUCUUCUACCAAAUAUUGAGUUCCUCGGAAAGAAUCCUUUAAGACAAUUUUGUGUUGGUGAAAAGUGUCACAUCAGCAGCCGCAAAGUCUGAGUUUCUGUUUACUCAUCUAGCAGAGUGAAAGGCAGUGUGCAGGAGGGUGAGCAUGGACCCCAGAGCCAGAUCCGAACUCCACCCUUAUCAGCUCUGUGAUCUUUGGCUAUGGAACCUGAAGACAUUCAGGUUGUGUCCUGAGCCAUGUCAUGGAUGGGUGUCAGGCUGUGUCCCGGAUGUCAUGUCACGGAUGGGUGGCUGCAAAUCAGUCAGCCCUUUCUGAAAGCUUUUUUCUGCCCUUGGUGGAGGAAAACGAACAAGAACUUUGGAGGCGUGCAUAUGCGUGUGCACUGAAGGGAGGAUGCUGAGCUAAGAAUACAGAGAAGAAAUGAAAAAAACAAAAAGAACAAAGAUUUAUUUGCUAACUAAGAGGGCAUUCGCAAAUAUUUCUCCCACAUCCCAUCCAGAAAGAUUUCAAGGCCAGGAAAAUAAAAGCACCUGUCGGAUAUCAACUGAUUAAAGCUUCAGGGAAACCAGCAAAUGUCUUCAUUUUCCUAUUCAAGGACUCUUUUUAUAAUCAAACGCAAGAGGAGAAAGUUUUAAAUUUCCACUUUGGAGGAGUCUUGAAAUCCUAUAAACAGAAAUAUAAGCACCAUAAUUUUCUAAAUGUUAAGAGGCAAAAAGAAGGCACACUCAAGAAUAGGUCCAUCCUCUUGGGCUCCUGGGAGACAGUUGGGAAAUUGCUGUCUCUAUCAUGUGACGGUCAGUAGCCUUGGUAGUUGCCACCCACUUCCCAUGUCUGACCCACCCCAAGGUCAUGUCACCCCAUGUGUGUGAGUAAAAUACUACCAGGUCUUCCCAUUCUCACCAAGCAGCACCCACUCUUCCAUCCCUCUGUUGUUCCCUCAAGUUUCUCUCCUUCCAUCUGAAGGUAAUCUCUCCACUCUGCCCGGAUUUCAUGCUCUCCUAUCUACCUUCUCAAGAAUCUCACAUCAUCUAUCACUCCUUCUUUCCGGAAUUUAAACUUCCUUCUCUUCAGUGGUACCUUCUUGUUAUCAACACUUAAUCAUACUCAGUCUUUUUCACCUCACAAAACCUCCUCCUUCAGCUGCUUCCCUAUCUUCUGCUCCCCUUCACAGCCAGUCUUGGAGAUGAAGUCCUCACUCCGUCGAUUUCUUUUCCUUCCUCCUCCAUCAUUCCCAUCACCACUCUAAUGAAGCUGCUUUUGCCAAGGCCAUCAAUGUUCCCCAUGCCAUUUAAUCCAAUGGACCCUUUUCUGUCUCUGUGUGACCUCUUGGCAUGUUUCAGUCACUGUUUACUUAUAUCCUUGUCAGGGCUCUUCCCUCGGCUUCCUGAUGCCACUAUCUGCUGAGCCCCCAUCACACACUCCUCCUCCUCUCGAAACUCUCUCAGGGCACCAUCCCAGGACCACUGUGCCUUGCAUUCUGUACACUCUCUUUGAUGGUCUCAUCAAUCUCUAUGGCUGCCAUUAUCACCCAACCACUGAUGACCCACACAUGUGUCUCUUAGCAGACCUCCUGAGAUCCAGAUACAUGAUUCAAUUCUCUUUGAAUAACCUGUUGGGAUGGCCUGUAACUCAACAUGUCCAAAGAUGAACCUGGUCAGAGUGAUAUUUUUAAAACACACAUCAGAUGUCACCCCUCUGCACAACACCCUUCAGUGUCUACCCAUCCUGCUCUAAGGAAAUGUCUAAGGCAUUAUAAUGGCCCACAAGACCCUACUCAAUCUGUCUCCAUCCUUCUACUUCUAUGACCUUAUCUCCUACUAGUCUCCACCUUACUCAGACCACUCUAGCCAUGCUAGCCAGACAUGCUCCCAUCACAGAGCCUUUGCACUUGCUUUUCCUCUGUCUGUUCUCCCUCCAGAUAUAAGCACUUGUUUGCUCACAUUUUUGAAGACUCUGUUCAACUAUCGCCUCUUGGUAAGGCUAUCUCUGAAAAUCCUAUAUAAAAUUGCAACCCACGCCUCGACCUAACAUUCCUUAUCCUCUCCUACUAAUGUCUUUGUCUUUAUAACACUUGUAAAUAUCUGACAUAUCAUAUACUUUGUUUAUUUAUUGUCAAUUGCUCUCCACUAGAUUAUAGGCUACAUCAUGGCAGGAGUUUUGGUCCCUUUUGUUCAUUGUAUUCCUAAAGCCUCGAACAGGGCCUGACACAUAGGAUACAGUCAAUAAUUAACUGUGGAAUAAAUAAAUGAAUGAAUAUUCACCCCCUCACUCCCCCAACCUGCUAUUCAUCAUUUCAGUAAAUGGCAUUCCCAUCUACCCAGCUGCCCAAUGCAGAAACUGAGGGCCAGCUAGGACUCAGCUCACACUGCCAUUAACCCCUCACUCAGCCCUCUGGCUAGCUGCUGAAAGUUGUCUCCCUCUCCUACCUCCUGUCACAUAGUUAUUUCCUACUCUUCCCUCAGGUUCCAGCCUAAACAUCAUUUUUACAGACCAUGUCUGUUAUAUUUCCCUUUAAAUACCCAACUAGGCCUAAUACAUGUCUGGCCCAUACUAAGUGUUCAUCAAAUAUUUGUUGAAUGAAUAAAUGGCAUUUCUCAGAAAUGCCAGAUUAGGUUCCCCUGUUCUCUGUUGUUAUGGCACCCUGUAAAUUUCAUAUAACACUCAUCUCACUUUACGAUAAUUACUUUGUUUAAUGUCUUUCUUCUCUACCAGAUUAUAAGCUCUCUGAAAAUGGAGAUCUGCACGAAGGUGGGAAUGAGCAAGCGAAGGUCCUAAAACCCAGAAAGGCCUGGCCUGACUGUGAAAGGGUCGUGCUGCACCCUUUGGUUCCUGGUGAAUGAAUGAAUGAUGUAGGAUGAGGAGAAAACAGAAACAAGCUCUUCUACCCACUUCCAUUUCCAGCACGAGCUACUAUAGAUAACAAAUCACAGCUUUGACUGUUCCUGAAUUCCAGAAAUACAUCAUCAAAGGAGUGCACAUGGACAUCGAGAACCCCGACUCUGCAUUUUAUUAUAAUUUUUGUGAAUAUUAGUCAUAAAUUUACCAGUCAGUUUGAUUCAACCCUCAAAUUGAUUAAAUAACUAUGAAGCAUACAUAAUCACAUAAAACCAAGAUCAUCAAUAGCUAGAAUUUAUCCCAAUAGAUGAGGAACAAAUUUCUAAGAAGAUUCAAAGUCUGGAUGCUACGUCACUAUGGUGACAAGACAGUACUGCAAUCAAAUGUGAUAGAAGCUCUCACACUGACCAAGCUACUCGAUCUUCUAAGGCAAAACCCCAGUAAAUUAUUAUUUAUAGGCAUUCCCAUCAUAAUUAUUCUUUUAACUUUUAAAAUUAAAUUACGUUAUUACCUUAUAGCUUUGAAGACACAUACAUGUUGCCACUAGUAUCUAUUAUGGUCAUCGCUUCAUUAGAAAGUGACCCAGUCAACAUUUGGUUCUAACCUAUUUAACUGCCUCAUCUAUUUAGUUGCCCCAUUAGGGGCUUUUAGUCCAUUACAAGAAUUAUUUAAACUAUCACUGAUUUUGGCUCAAGGAGGAACAAAAUAAGAAAUAUAAUUUAUUGUUUUGAUAGAUUCAAAAGAGUUUUGAUGUUCUAACAGGCUCAAGUUAAGACAGCAGCCAUGAGCUAAAGAAAUAAGCCAUUCAGACAUAAACAGAAGAAUAUGAGUAAUUAUCUCUGUACCUCCUAUUCUCUCAGCCUCUUGCCCUUCCCCUUGGUUGGAUAACUCUUCCUUACCCAUCAAGACUCAGGUUAAAGGCGCUUCGUCCUGAAUUAGGUCCCCUUGCUUUGUGCUCCCUCUACUCUCCCUGUCAUAACACUCAUCAUGCUUGGUUGUAAUUACAUUUUUAAUGUCCAAUCUUGCCGCUAGAUUGUAAGAUCCCUGAGGACAGGGUUCAUGCUUGUCUUUUUACCACUCUGUACCUAACACCCAGCACAGUGCCUGACCCACAGGAGGUGUGCAAUACAUGUUUGCUAAAUUGAAAUGAAAUUGAAGUUUAUUUGAUCACUACCAAUGAUUUGUAGUUGGACCGUAGUGAAACCUGUUAGUUUUACCUCCUACUAUGUGUAGGAAAUUCAUACCUAUAGGCAAAGAAUCACCUACAAAGACUUUCAGAACAGCAUUAUAAUAGAUAAGAAUAGGAGAAUGGAUAAAUAAAUUAUUCUAGGUAUAGUCAUACAAGAGGACAUUUCAAAGUCUAGAUAAAGUUAUAUUUCUGAAGUGUUUUUAUUUAAAUGACAUGGGGAAAUUCUCAUUAUAUUGUGUUAAAUAGUAAUAAAAUU